AUACGGAGGGUGCAAGCGUUGUUCGGAAUCACUGGGCGUAAAGGGCGCGCAGGCGGUCCUGCAAGUCAGAUGUGAAAGCCCACGGCUCAACCGUGGAAGUGCAUUUGAAACUGCAGGACUUGAGUAUCAGAGGGGAAAGUGGAAUUCCCGGUGUAGAGGUGAAAUUCGUAGAUAUCGGGAGGAAUACCGGUGGCGAAGGCGACUUUCUGGCUGAAUACUGACGCUGAGGCGCGAAAGCGUGGGGAGCAAACAGGAUUAGAUACCCCGGUAGUCC
rnacentral:rRNA from 1 species